AAUUAAUUUAUGGUUACAUUGUUUUGGUGUAAAUUAGAGAUGUCCUAACUAAGACAAUAUGUGCUGGCUUACAUCUUGAUGUGGCUCAUGAGUUUUUUAAAGUUCCCAUGACAUGGCGCACUUUGGAUGCUUUUAUAUAGACCUUAGUGGUCCCCUAAUAUAAUAUCUGAAGUAUAUUUUCCAAAAUUCAGCCUUGGUGCAGAAUUAGAGCCACCAGAGCUUGCCAUUUCCGAGUCUGUAGCUUUUGAGGAGGAGAGAUGGGGGGGGGCAAGGUGGAGGCUGAGGGUGUGGCCUUGACCAACUGCCACUUUGCUUGUUUAAAAGCCAUGAUGUCUCUCGGUCAUGGGUGGGCCAAAUUCUCUGGGUAAUAAAAGCAGAGAAAGGGGAAGUAACCUCAGAUCUGCCCAACUGAGCUUUCAUUUUCUCAAAGACAGAGCACGAUACCCAUGGCGACCAAUGGGGGGACCACAGGCAGGCUGUGGGAACUCAUAUUAAUGUUAAAAAAACUCAAAGUUUCAUGCAAUGGGACCUUUAAAUAAAACCUAUAUUAGGUCGGCUGGCUAUGAUAAAAUGCAGUUCUUAUUGUUAACACUAGAUGUCAAUAUCCCCAUAUGUGUAGUUGCCAGAUGCCAUCAAGGAAGUCAAUCUCCUGUGGGAGAAAUUGUGUUGAGUUAUAACUCUCUAACAAUGACAGGUGAGCAGAAUGGAAUGAUAUCCUGUGUGUGUCGCAGUGAAGUCUGGAGGAGAGGCUGCGCCACAGCUACCUAGCUGGGUGAUGUGAUCUUUUCCGAUCAGAAGCACUUAAUCACCACUGCUGAAAAACAUGGAUAAACAUUUAAUUUCCCAUAAAUUCUUGACAAACGUCCCUUGAUGUUUUGUUAUUUAAAAGCUUUAAUUAGCAGCAAAAUCAAGGAAUGUAUCAGCAGUAACUUAACAAGUCCUAUACAAGUGAAAGCAAACAUGAAACAGUAAAAUAAAGCAUAAGUACAAACAGGGACGCAGCAGAGAAACUACAUUUUUGUCAGAAGCUACAAAAGUAAUGGUUUGACUGAGUGCAGCCUAAAGUGCCAUAUGGUGAAAAAAACACCAUGUGUGAGUUAGCCUUGUGAUGGAAACUGCACACCCAAAAUUAAUUGUCACUCUCUCACUUAGUGUAAACUGUGAGAGCUUUUCAGCCUUUUAUUGCUUAUUGUUUUGGAACACAUUUAGCAAGCACUAUCAGGCAUCAUGCUGCAUUUUAGGUGAUAGAAUGUAAAUAGUAGUGAAAAUCAACAACUGUAAAGAGUACCUAGUGAGGUGCAGACCAGUAUGGGCUUCAUUGCAAUUUUAUUCAAACUAAAAAAGAAUUUCCAUCCUGCCUUCAUCAGGGUAAUUGUGUCCUGUUUACUGUGCUCCAAUUUUGAAGGAACGCUAAAUUGGCAA